GUCUCCGUGGCGCAAUUGGUUAGCGCGUUCGGCUGUUAACCGAAAGGUUGUUGGUUCAAGCCCACCCGGGGACG
rnacentral:tRNA from 1 species